AUGGACGCGGUGCCCGCGCUGGCGGUGGUGGACGCGCGCUUCUGCGCGGGGGACGAGGCGGCGCUGGCCGUGGCCAAGACGCUCAGCAUGUCCGGCAACGACUUCACCGUCACGGACGCCGCCACGGGCGCCCUGCUGCUGCGCGUCGACGGCGUGCUCUUCAGCCUCCGCCGCCGCUGCCUCCUCGCCGACGCCCACCGCCGCCCCGUGCUCACCGUCCAAGAAUCGGCGCUGGUGAUGAACACGCGGUGGAAGGUGUACCGCGGGGACAGCACGAGCCGGCGGGACCUGCUGUUCACGGUGGUGAAGCCGUCGGUGAUCCAGCUGCGGUGGUCCACCAAGGUCAGCGUCUUCCUCGCCAGCAACGACGCCGAGCAGUCCCCCGACUUCCGGAUCACCGGCAGCUACCACGACGGCGCCUGCUCCGUCUCCCUCGGGGAAUCCGACACCGUCAUCGGCAGGAUCGACCGGCGGUCCACCGUGGUGAGCGCGCUGCUGGGCAAGAACGCUUACAGCGUCACCGUCAACCCCGGCAUCGACUACGCAUUCAUCGUCGCGCUCGCCGUCGUCCUCGACGAGAUGCACUACCAAUGA
rnacentral:rRNA from 1 species